UGCAAAAUAAAAAGGAACAUGCUGUUUGCUUUACAUCAUUUUAUUAAUUUGAGUUAGUUAACAUUUACUGAAAACCCACCAGGUACAGGAUGUAAUAGACAUGUAGAAAAGUAAGAAAAGAUACAGGAAGUAUAUUUUUCUGACUGCAAAAAUCCAACUAAUUUAGUCUAAGGAAGACACCAACUAAAGACAUGAGAACAGCUGAGAAUACAAAUAAUGGAAACAUGACAAUGUCCACUAAAGACACUAAGGACACGUUAGUUUCUUAUUUAUUUAUUUAUUUAUUUAUUUUGAGAUAGAGUCUUGCUCUAUCGCCCAGGCUAGAGUGCAGUGGCGCAAUCUCUGCUCACUGCAAACUCCGCCUCCUGGGUUCAUGCCAUUCUUCUGUCUCAGCCUCCCGAGUAGCUGGGACUACAGGCAACUGCCACUACACCUGGCUAAUUUUUUGUAUUUUUAGUAGAGACGGAGUUUCACCGUGUUAGCCAGAAUGGUCUCUAUCUUCUGACCUUGGGACAUGUUAGUUUCAAUCACCUGUGAGUGUGGAAGGGAGGGCUCAUUGAGUGAGCCCUUGGACCUUUGGAAGCCUGUGUGUUGCAAUGAAGCAUUCUACCUGGGGAUGCUGUGGCAUCUCUGGAAAAAUCAGGCCAACAGCAGACCUCCUAUCUCUUAGUCACUGUAAGAGUAUCCAAGCAGGUAAAUUUGGUGACUUUGGAGGGUUGGUUCCUUACCAAAAAAUACCUGCUUUUAUUUUAUUUUAUUUUUGAAACAGGGUCUCACUCUGUUGCCAGGCUGGAGUGCAGUGGCAUAAUCACAGCUCAUGGCAGCCUCGACCUCCCAGGCCCAAGUGAUCCUCCUGCCUCAGCCUCUCGAGUAGCUGGGACUACAGGGGUGUCCCACUAUGCCUGGCUAAUUUUUAAAUUUUUUUGUAGGAUGAGGUCUCGCUGUGUGCCCAGGCUUGUCUUAAACUCCUGGGCUCAAGCAAUCCUCCCGCCCUGGCCUCCCAAAAUGCUGGGAUUACAGGUGUGAGCCACUGCACCCGCCCCUGAUUUUAUUUAAUCAGAGUUGGCCAUUUGAGGAUUUAUGCCACAUGAUUUGUGUCUAUGUAAGCUCAGGAUUCUUUAUCUCUCUUAAAGUUAGAAGAAGCAGGCAUGGCACAUGGCUAUGAAGACAUCAUAGGUAGCACUCAGGCCGUCUGUUUGGCCAGCUUACCACUUUGUGGAUUUCAUGUGAAAGCAAGUCUCCACUCUGGAAUAAGGGUUUGUUGCCUGACUUUCCAGGGGAGUGUACUCUACUUUCCACAGCCUCCUUUUCUGUGCUUCCUGCUCACAGAAAUCGAGAGCACUGCUCAAGAAUCUGCUCAAGAACUCUGUGUCUCUGGCCAGGCGCAGUGGCUCAUGCCUGUAAUCCCAGCACUUUGGGAGACUGAGGCGGGCAGAUCACUUGAGCUCACGAGUUCAAGACCAUCCUGGGCAACAUGGCAAAACCCCGUCUCUACCGAAAAAAAAAAAAUAGCCAGGUGGGGUGGCAUGUUCCUGUAGUCCCAGCUACUUGGGAGGCUGAGGUGGGAGGUUGGCUUGAGCCCAGGAGGCGAGGUUGCAGUGCCACUGCACUUCAGCCUGGGCGACAGAGACAGAGAACUCUGUGUUUUGCAUGAGCAACACUGCUGGGUGGCACCAAGCUCCCUUUUGUCUUGUUGCGAGUAUUCCUAGGCUCCUCAGGAAACUGUUGGGUUUACCCACUGUGCUUGCGAGUGAUGUGCCUUCAAAGCCCACUUAUGGCUCAGAACAGUGCAUCCCAGACCACCUGUGGGGAGGGACUAUUUUGUCUUCAAUCCAUCAUGGGUCAAUAUUUUUAAAAAUACAAUAAAAUAAACUACUAAAAAAUGAAAUAAAAAGUAAUGGCAUAUAAAUCACAAGCUCAAUUCUUUUUACUAGAUUCAAGAGACACAAACUUACUCUGUCCAAUUGCCAUCAAAGUUGUAAUUGCUUAUUUUGUUCUGUACUUAUCUCAUUGCAGAAUUUCUACAGUUCGUAGAAUCGAGCAGGAACUGGUCCCCUGACUAUAGUUUAAGCACUGGCCUAAAAGAUGAUGGGCUUUGCAUUAGUUUCAAAGUGGAAGCCCAUCACCCAGAUUGUUGGAGGGUCGAGGAGCAGAUCUCCUUUCGUUGAUUUCAUGUCGUCAUUUGUUCUGACUCAAGUCAGAGCUAGAAAAUUUGCAAUCAGUAUUUGUCCCUGGAAGCCAGUUGCCAU
rnacentral:lncRNA from 10 species